rnacentral:rRNA from 1 species
AUGGCGUGCUGCGCUGCGGUGGUGGCGGUGGUGCUGGCGGCCGCGGUGGCGGGGGCGCCGGUGGAGGGGCUCGGCGUGAACUGGGGCACCUUGGCCACGCGCCGGCUGCCGCCCAAGGUGAUGGCCCAGCUGCUCAAGGACAACGGGUUCAAGAAGGUGAAGAUCUUCGACGCCGACGAGACCACCAUGAUGGGGCUCGCCGGGACCGGCAUCGAGACCAUGAUCGCCGUGCCCAACGACAUGCUCGCCGCCGUGGCCGCCGACUACCGCCGGGCCAAGGAAUGGGUCAAGAUGAACGUCACCAAGUACGACUACCACGGCGGCGUCAACAUCAAAUUCGUGGCGAUCGGGAACGAGCCGUUCCUCACGGCGUACAACGGCACGUACGACAACGUCACCGUGCCGGCGCUCAAGAACAUCCAGCGCGCGCUCGACGAGGCCGGCCACGGCUCCGCCAUCAAGGCCACGGUCCCGGUGAACGCCGACGUCUACGACUCUCCGGCCAGCAACCCCGUCCCGUCGGCGGGGAAGUUCCGGGACGACGUCGCCGCCGUCAUCACCGACAUGGUGAGGUUCCUCAACCACAGCGGCGCGCCCUUCAGCGUCAACAUCUACCCGUUCCUCAGCCUCUACGGCAACGACAACUUCCCCAUCGACUACGCCUUCUUCGACGGCGCGCCUCCCAACCCCGUCAUCGACAACGGCGUCAACUACACCAACGUGUUCGACGCCAACUUCGACACGCUCGUCUCCGCGCUCGACAAGAUUGGGUUCGGGAGCAUGCCGGUGGUGAUCGGCGAGGUCGGCUGGCCGACGGACGGCGACAAGCACGCCACGGUGCCCUACGCCGAGAGGUUCUACAACGGGCUGCUCAAGCGGCUGGCGGCGCGGCAGGGCACGCCCCUGCGCCCGCACGCCAGCAUCGAGGUGUACCUCUUCGGGCUCAUGGACGAGGACGCCAAGAGCGUGGCGCCCGGCAACUUCGAGCGCCAUUGGGGCAUCUUCACGUUCGACGGCCGCCCAAAGUUCCCGCUCGACCUCCGCGGCAACGGGCGGCCGGUCAUGCCGGCGGGGGCCAGGGGCGUGCAGUACCUGCCGCGGCGGUGGUGCGUGCUCAGCCCCAACGCUUCCACCAACGCGACCGCCGUCGAGGAGAACGUGGCCUACGCGUGCUCGCGCGCCGACUGCACGCCCCUCGGCUACGCCUGCAGCUGCGGCGCGCUGGACGCCGCCGGGAACGCCUCCUACGCGUUCAACGCCUACUACCAGGCGCAGGGGCAGGUGCCGUUGGCGUGCGACUUCCAGGGCCUCGCCCUCGUCACCGACAAGGACGUGUCACGGCCACCCUGCAACUUCACCGUACAAGUAGUUGCCGAGUCGCGCGCCACGGCGGUCACCACCAACACAACCGCCGCCGAGUCAAUGGCGCCCGACGCGGCCGCGGCGCGGCUGACCGCCGCCGUGAUGGCUUUCUUGCUUGUGCUCGUCUCGGCAUAA